UUUGUUUUCGUCCGGUUUCUCAGCAACCAAACAGGGUUCAUUCGAUUUUGAAAUUCCUACAUCGGAUGCUGGGUGUUGGCUGCUGAGAAAAUGUAGGAAGAGGGA